UACGGAGGGGGCUAGCGUUGUUCGGAAUUACUGGGCGUAAAGCGCACGUAGGCGGCUUUGUAAGUUAGAGGUGAAAGCCCAGGGCUUAACCCUGGAAUUGCCUUUAAGACUGCAUCGCUAGAAUCGUGGAGAGGUAAGUGGAAUUCCGAGUGUAGAGGUGAAAUGCGUAGAUAUCGGAAGGAACACCUGUGGCGAAAGCGGCUCACUGGCCCGGAACUGACGCUGAGACGCGAAAGCGUGGGGAGCAAACAGG
rnacentral:rRNA from 1 species